rnacentral:tmRNA from 1 species
GGGGGCGUACAUGGUUUCGACGGGGGUCAUGGAUGCCGGAUAAGCGAGCCGAAGCCCUGCACUUCGUUAAAAGCGGGAAACGUCAAAUUAACUGACAACACAAACACAAACUUAGUCGCUGCUUAAGUCAGCCGACCGUCCGCCCGUAGGUUCCUGCGCCGACGGAUACGGGCGUCAGCAAGGCAGGAAACGAACGUGUCAAAGCUUUGAGGCACGGGGUAUUUAUGAAGCUACUUCGAGCGUGAGCUUGUCUGUGGGCGCACGUGAGGGGGAAUGUUAAAGCAUAGACUACGCUCGUAGAAAGUCCCUCAGACAGGCUUUCGGACAGGGGUUCGACUCCCCUCGCCUCCACCA